GUGAGGAAUAUUGGUCAAUGGGCGAAAGCCUGAACCAGCAACGCCGCGUGGAGGAUGAAGGCCUUCGGGUCGUAAACUCCUUUUCUGGGAGAAGAGACAAGGACGGUAUCCCAGGAAUAAGUCUCGGCUAACUACGUGCCAGCAGCCGCGGUAAAACGUAGGAGGCUAGCGUUAUCCGGAUUUACUGGGCGUAAAGCGCACGCAGGCGGUUGUGCAAGUCGGACGUGAAAGCUCCUGGCUCAACUGGGAGAGGUCGUUCGAAACUGCACAGCUUGAGGUUGGGAGAGGAGAGCGGAAUUCCCGGUGUAGUGGUGGAAUGCGUAGAUAUCGGGAGGAACACCAGUGGCGAAAGCGGCUCUCUGGCCCAUACCUGACGCUCAGGUGCGAAAGCGUGGGUAGCGAACGGGAUUAGAAACCCUGGUAGUCC
rnacentral:rRNA from 1 species